rnacentral:rRNA from 1 species
UACAUGGGGCGCAAACGUUGCUCGGAAUUAUUGGGCGUAAAGAGCUCGUAGGCGGUUUGUCGCGUCUGCUGUGAAAACCUAAGGCUCAACCUUGGGCUUGCAGUGGGUACGGGCAGACUAGAGUGCGGUAGGGGUGACUGGAAUUCCUGGUGUAGCGGUGGAAUGCGCAGAUAUCAGGAGGAACACCGAUGGCGAAGGCAGGUCACUGGGCCGCAACUGACGCUGAGGAGCGAAAGCAUGGGGAGCGAACAGG